UAAUCCCAGCUUCCGGUAGAGGUG
rnacentral:piRNA from 1 species